rnacentral:tRNA from 1 species
GCGGCUGUAGUACAAUGGCAGUACGAUAGCUUCCCAAGCUAUAGACGUGGGUCCGAUUCCCAUCAGCCGCU